CGGGCCUUAGUGGCGGACGGGUGAGUAACGCGUGGGGAACCUGCCCCGCACCGGGGGAUAACACCUGGAAACAGGUGCUAAUACCGCAUAAGCGCACAGGGCCGCAUGGCCCGGUGUGAAAAACUCCGGUGGUGUAAGAUGGACCCGCGUCUGAUUAGCUUGUUGGCGGGGUAGGGGCCCACCAAGGCGACGAUCAGUAGCCGAUCUGAGAGGAUGGCCGGCCACAUUGGGACUGAGACACGGACCAGACUCCUACGGAAGGCAGCAG
rnacentral:rRNA from 1 species